rnacentral:rRNA from 1 species
UACGUAGGGUGCAAGCGUUGUCCGGAAUUAUUGGGCGUAAAGAGCUCGUAGGCGGUUUGUCGCGUCGAAUGUGAAAACCCGGGGCUCAACCCCGGGCCUGCAUUCGAUACGGGCAGACUAGAGUUCGGUAGGGGAGUCUGGAAUUCCUGGUGUAGCGGUGAAAUGCGCAGAUAUCAGGAAGAACACCGGUGGCGAAGGCGGCUUCCUGGACCGACACUGACGCUGAGGCGCGAAAGCUAGGGGAGCAAACGGG